UACAGAGGUCUCAAGCGUUGUUCGGAUUCAUUGGGCGUAAAGGGUGCGUAGGCGGCGCGGUAAGUCGGGUGUGAAAUCUUGGAGCUUAACUCCGAAACUGCAUUCGAUACUGCCGUGCUUGAGGACUGGAGAGGAGACUGGAAUUUACGGUGUAGCGGUGAAAUGCGUAGAUAUCGUAAGGAAGACCAGUGGCGAAGGCGGGUCUCUGGCCCGGUACUGACGCUGAGGUGCGAAAGCGUGGGGAGCAAACAGG
rnacentral:rRNA from 1 species